ensembl:lncRNA
CUGAUAAGGGCUGGGGUUAGAAAUAAAGUCCUGCCCCUUACCAAGAUGGGGGAUGGGAGGGUAUAAAACAAAUAUUUGUGCCCACUGAAGCAUAAGGAAGUCAAAACCCUGUGUGCUUCUUGCUCUAUGUCUGUUCUUGAAUUUCCCACAUAGACCUGUACUAAAGAUGUUGUCACGAAAUCUUUUCAUUGCUUCAGUAGCAUUUGUCUUUCUGGCAACAGCAGUUUCAGCUGCUCCUGUUGAAGACAAAGACCCAGAGGAAAAUGAUUUUGAAGCAGAGGAGGGUGAGGAAGAGCUCUCGGAGGAAGAAGAGGGAGCUGGAGCCCAGCAAGCCACAAUGGUGCCCAAGGGCCCUGGUGUGACUGUUCUACCUGGCACUUCUCCGGUGGGCGAACCUCCAAACGGUAAGGAGAUGAAUGGAGCGGGUGCUGCACAGACAAGCCUUAUCUCAUCAAGUGGAUCCUCAGCAGCAGCAGCUGGUGCUGAUGGAAGUAACGGAAGAGACUCCCAAGCCUUGCCCUCAAGUUCUCAAGGUGCUGUUUUAAGUGUGGCUGGUCAUGGGAGCUCAGGGUCAAAGGUCCCUGGUAAUGAAUUUUUUUUUAUUAAGAAUUAUUACAAAUUUUAUUAAGAAUUUUGUUUUACAUCUUAAUAAAGCCCCGCUACAGACUCCACUGAGUUUUAUGUUUUGCAGGUGCAGCUGAUACUGCUUACUCAGACACUGUCUCUCAUGGUAUUUAUCUAAUUGUGUGUUGCAUGUAAAAAUUAUUAUAGUAG